AGUGGCGGACGGGUGAGUAAUGUCUGGGAAACUGCCUGAUGGAGGGGGAUAACUACUGGAAACGGUAGCUAAUACCGCAUAACGUCGCAAGACCAAAGAGGGGGACCUUCGGGCCUCUUGCCAUCGGAUGUGCCCAGAUGGGAUUAGCUAGUAGGUGGGGUAACGGCUCACCUAGGCGACGAUCCCUAGCUGGUCUGAGAGGAUGACCAGCCACACUGGAACUGAGACACGGUCCAGACUCCUACGGGAGGCAGCAGUGGGGAAUAUUGCACAAUGGGCGCAAGCCUGAUGCAGCCAUGCCGCGUGUAUGAAGAAGGCCUUCGGGUUGUAAAGUACUUCCAGCGGGGAGGAAGGGAGUAAAGUUAAUACCCUUGCUCAUUGACGUUACCCGCAGAAGAAGCACCGGCUAACUCCGUGCCAGCAGCCGCGGUAAUACGGAGGGUGCAAGCGCUAAUCGGAAUUACUGGGCGUAAAGCGCACGCAGGCGGUUUGUUAAGUCAGAUGUGAAAUCCCCGGGCUCAACCUGGGAACUGCAUCUGAUACUGGCAAGCUUGAGUCUCGUAGAGGGGGGUAGAAUUCCAGGUGUAGCGGUGAAAUGCGUAGAGAUCUGGAGGAAUACCGGUGGCGAAGGCGGCCCCCUGGACGAAGACUGACGCUCAGGUGCGAAAGCGUGGGGAGCAAACAGGAUUAGAUACCCUGGUAGUCCACGCCGUAAACGAUGUCGACUUGGAGG
rnacentral:rRNA from 1 species